rnacentral:rRNA from 2 species
CCUACGGGAGGCAGCAGUGGGGAAUAUUGCACAAUGGGCGAAAGCCUGAUGCAGCAACGCCGCGUGAGUGAUGAAGGCCUUCGGGUUGUAAAGCUCUGUCUUUUGGGACGAUAAUGACGGUACCAAAGGAGGAAGCCACGGCUAACUACGUGCCAGCAGCCGCGGUAAU